rnacentral:rRNA from 1 species
UACGUAGGGUGCAAGCAUUGUCCGGAUUUAUUGGGCGUAAAGAGCUCGUAGGCGGCUUGUCACGUCGGAUGUGAAAACUCGGGGCUCAACCCCGAGCCUGCAUUCGAUACGGGCUAGCUAGAGUGUUGCAGGGGAGACUGGAAUUCCUGGUGUAGCGGUGAAAUGCGCAGAUAUCAGGAGGAACACCGGUGGCGAAGGCGGGUCUCUGGGCAACUACUGACGCUGAGGAGCGAAAGCGUGGGGAGCGAACAGGAUUAGAAACCCGAGUAGU